UACUGGCCUGUCUUGUGGAUGGAUACCCCGUGGAU
rnacentral:rRNA from 1 species